rnacentral:rRNA from 1 species
GAUGAACGCUGGCGGCGUGCCUAAUACAUGCAAGUCGAGCGAACAGACGAGGAGCUUGCUCCUCUGACGUUAGCGGCGGACGGGUGAGUAACACGUGGAUAACCUACCUAUAAGACUGGGAUAACUUCGGGAAACCGGAGCUAAUACCGGAUAAUAUAUUGAACCGCAUGGUUCAAUAGUGAAAGACGGUUUUGCUGUCACUUAUAGAUGGAUCCGCGCCGCAUUAGCUAGUUGGUAAGGUAACGGCUUACCAAGGCAACGAUGCGUAGCCGACCGGAGAGGGUGAUAGGCCACACUGGAACUGAGACACGGUCCAGACUCCUACGGGAGGCAGCAGUAGGGAAUCUUCCGCAAUGGGCGAAAGCCUGACGGAGCAACGCCGCGUGAGUGAUGACGGUCUUCGGAUCGUAAAACUCUGUUAUUAGGGAAGAACAAAUGUGUAAGUAACUAUGCACGUCUUGACGGUACCUAAUCAGAAAGCCACGGCUAACUACGUG